AACGAACGCUGGCGGCAUGCCUUACACAUGCAAGUCGAACGGUAACAGGUCUUCGGAUGCUGACGAGUGGCGAACGGGUGAGUAAUGCAUCGGAACGUGCCCAGUAGUGGGGGAUAGCCCGGCGAAAGCCGGAUUAAUACCGCAUACGACCUGAGGGUGAAAGGGGGGGAUCGCAAGACCUCUCGCUAUUGGAGCGGCCGAUGUCAGAUUAGCUAGUUGGUGGGGUAAAGGCCUACCAAGGCAACGAUCUGUAGUUGGUCUGAGAGGACGACCAGCCACACUGGGACUGAGACACGGCCCAGACUCCUACGGGAGGCAGCAGUGGGGAAUUUUGGACAAUGGGCGCAAGCCUGAUCCAGCAAUGCCGCGUGCAGGAAGAAGGCCUUCGGGUUGUAAACUGCUUUUGUCAGGGAAGAAAUCUUCUGGGUUAAUACCUCGGGAGGAUGACGGUACCUGAAGAAUAAGCACCGGCUAACUACGUGCCAGCCGCCGCAGUAA
rnacentral:rRNA from 1 species